CUGUGUGCAGUCUGUGUGGGUGUACCCUGUCUUCUGCCCGUUGACAGCUAGGACAGGCUCCAGCACACCCACGACCCUUGUGCGUCUAAGAGUCUAAGAAAAUGGAUGGAUGGAUAUAUAUACAUGUAAUCACUUGAGGUGCCCUGUGACUGACUGGCAACCAGUUCAGGCUGUGGUUUGCCUCUCACCUGAAGUUGCCUGGGGUUGGCUGCAUCACUCCCGCAGCCCUUGAGAGGAUAAGUGGCUUGGGAAAUGGAUGGAUGGACAUCUCUUUCCUGACGUGUUGAAUUUUUCUUGGCAUGGAAGCUUUUUUAUGACUCUCCAACAAAUUGUGAAGCUCUGACUUUUGCAAAAGAGAUGCAUGAAGGCAAGUUAAGCACUUCAAGGCACAUCAAUAGAGAUGGUGCCAUUGCAAGGUUAAUGAGCACAACAACAUCAGCAGCAGGUCUGUCAAGGGAUAUUAAAAAGAAACAGGCCUGGCUGUGAACUCCUUCCUGUGAUGAAUGUCACAAAAGGUUUUGAUAGAAGUCACUUUACAAACACGAAUGGUGAUUUGUGUUACACUGGAAUCAGACUGCAGGAUUUUAGCACACAUCUUGGCCCGAUUGGCUAUUGCAGCCAAGUUCCCAGAUCGAGCCAAACAUAUUUUGUCGGGAAUGAUAAACCUAUCACGUGGAGGACCAAAUUCACAAACAAAGAUUUGGCCCUAUGGUAUCACAAGGCAGGCAAAAUAAAAAGUCUAGCGUGCUUGAUUUUUAGGGAUAUCUUCUGUGGAGUGUGACAAUAGGCGGGUAGAGUAGACAAAUAUUGUACUCAAGUAAGAGUAAUGUUACUUUAGACUAAUAUGACUCGAGUAAAAGUAAAAAGUAGUCAUCCAAAUAUUUACCUGAGUGAAAAAGAAUACUCAAGUGAAGAGUACAUUUGUGAUUAACUUUGGAUUUUAUUUAAAUGAGAACACAAACAUCAAAUAAAACAUGUUAAAAAUAAUAAGAAAUGGGAAUCAACACACUCCUGCCACCAUUUCAGUUUUUAUCUGCCCCGAAAAAUACAAAACAUACCUGGACAAUGGGCAGAGGAAUAGGGCUCAUUUUGACAUGUUCACUGCCAAAAGAACAAUAGAAACAUCUGCAACUUACUACGAGGUGUUUUGUCAAAUAUGUAGUGGGCGGAAAUAUCCAAGUUUGAGCAGACACAACUUAAGAGCUGUGAGAUAAAGAUGGGUUUUUUUGGUGGGGGGGGGUCUCUGAAAUAAACAGUCAUGCACGUGGCUGUUUAUUUCCAAAAUCUGUCAUUUUGGUUGGCUCACGAAGGCUAUGGCCAUGGCCAUGUGACUGCCAUCUACCAUCUGAUUAGCUAAUAGAAGUCAAAUGACUGGCUGAUCCCGUUUGAUUACCACAACAGGCACCCAAUGGGGAAGUCAAAGAUGGACUCUAGAAACAGAUGCACACACUCGAAAAUUAAUGAAUAAAAGUAGAAAACAGUAUUUCGAUCACUGUAAUGGAGUUAAAGUAUCAAUCUUUCUUCAUAAUUAGUUGAGUAAAAGUAAAACGUACAGUGAAUUUAAAGUACUCAGACAAGUUCUCUUAUAUGCUGACACAAACUCACACACAUUGUGAUUCGAAACACAAUACUUAAAUUGAUCUAAGAAACCUGAGGCUGGGCACAAAGAAUCGAGGAAAGGAAACACCGUCGCAAGGAUCAACCAAGGGCUGAGCACCCACCACAAUGAAGCCCACAGUGCAUCACUACAGGAAGUACCUGGAAACACAGCGAGUGGUUACCCAAUGAGGAAGAACUCCCAUCUCAGAGGCCUCUCACUGAGGCGAGAGCACUGAAAGUAGUAAUACUGUAUAUUAAUGAACGAAAUUCAUCAGUCACAUCAUUGUGAAAGAAUGCUCUAAAAACGAUGCAGAAUCAACUGUUAAACUAGAAUGAUAAAAACAUUAAUAGCAGACCUGGAAAAGCUGAAAUAAACAAAAAAUGAAUAACAAACAAAAGAAUAUAGAAGCAGGAAGUAAAAUUAGAGGAUAAGCUGAAUAAAAGUAGAUCAAUACAAUGUAUAUUUAGAGAAAUGCUAAUGUUAGUUGCGUCUUGAGCCUGUUCUUAAAAACAAGAACAUUAUCUGCAGGCCAGAGGUUCUCCGGCAGGCCAUAAAACUGAAAUGAUGCCUUUCCGUGACUUUGUGUCCUGACUUUUGGAGUGAUUAAAAGGCCACAGCUGGAGGAUCUCAGAGCUCGUGAGGGGUUUAAUGUAUACGGUAAAAGCAAUUCUAAGCGAUGGGAAGGCAUUUAAGGCAUGAAGAUAUUGAAAAAUCAGUGAAUGAACCUUAUAAUUGGUCCUGGUACACAGAGGGAGCCAACACAGUGAUUGUAAAAACAGUGUAAUAUGUUUCAGGGAAUAAAUUUAGCCGCUGCGAUUUGCGGCGAAUGCA